rnacentral:rRNA from 1 species
GAUGAACGCUGGCGGCGUGCCUAAUACAUGCAAGUCGAGCGAACGGACGAGAAGCUUGCUUCUCUGAUGUUAGCGGCGGACGGGUGAGUAACACGUGGAUAACCUACCUAUAAGACUGGGAUAACUUCGGGAAACCGGAGCUAAUACCGGAUAAUAUUUUGAACCGCAUGGUUCAAAAGUGAAAGACGGUCUUGCUGUCACUUAUAGAUGGAUCCGCGCUGCAUUAGCUAGUUGGUAAGGUAACGGCUUACCAAGGCAACGAUGCAUAGCCGACCUGAGAGGGUGAUCGGCCACACUGGAACUGCGACACGGUCCAGACUCCUACGGGAGGCAGCAGUAGGGAAUCUUCCGCAAUGGGCGAAAGCCUGCCGGAGCAACGCCGCGUGAGUGAUGAAGGUCUUCGGAUCGUAAAACUCUGUUAUUAGGGAAGAACAUAUGUGUAAGUAACUGUGCACAUCUUGAGGGUACCUAAUCAGAAAGCCACGGCUAACUAGGUG